CCAAAUUCAAUCAAUCAAAAAGUUAAGCACUCAAUGCAAACAACAUACAACAACAAUUAAUCAAUAUAUGUAUGAUGCAGCCGAUAGAUACAUAUUUACCAAUUGUAGACACUCAAGGUUUUUGAAAUAUUCCAUAAUUGAUUUAUCCUUGAGAAUAGUUCUGUAUCAGCUGCAUGACCUACAAAACAGUUAAGCUUUGGUUGCUAGUACCC
rnacentral:lncRNA from 1 species